UACGUAGGUGGCAAGCGUUGUCCGGAUUUACUGGGUGUAAAGGGCGUGUAGGCGGAGGUUCAAGUCAGGAGUGAAAUCUAUGGGCUUAACCCAUAAACUGCUUUUGAAACUGAAUCCCUUGAGUAUCGGAGAGGCAGGCGGAAUUCCCAGUGUAGCGGUGAAAUGCGUAGAUAUUAGGAGGGACACCAGUGGCGAAGGCGGCCUGCUGGACGACAACUGACGCUGAGGCGCGAAAGCGUGGGGAGCAGAC
rnacentral:rRNA from 1 species